GUCUACCUCACUAGAGGGGGGAGAAAUAAGACUGAAAGACCCCUGAAGGGAGACCCUCACUCAAGCCUCGGGACAGCCGCGGACCCAAGAAGACACUGAGACCG
rnacentral:pre_miRNA from 7 species